AGACAUUGGAGUAAGAGGAAGUCCCGUGUCAGAGGGCUCUGUGCACAUUUCCCUGAAAUACCUCAGCUAAGUGUAAAUGUAAUCUGUUAUUUUAACUAAUCAUAACAGUUGCAUUUUGCCCUUUCUUACAUUAAAUUAUAAAAUCAAUAACUUACAAAUACGGCAAAUCUUUAUUUUUCAAAGAUUCCUCUUCCUCCUCCUCCUUUCCAAAUGUUGCGUUUCAUCUUUUCCAAAGACCUCAAAAGCUACUAGAUUAUCAUUAAAAAAUAAACACAUUUUCAAAGGCCAUUAGCCCGAGGGGAGGUCCUGAGUCGUCCAAAGGUUCUCCAGCGGGCAAGCAAGAAAGACAGCACUCCUGCCCCGAUCCGUACACACUGGAGCAUCCAGACUGACUAAUGAACAGCAUUUUCAGUUAAUUGUACCUUUUAAAACUUUCUGCUGUUUACAUCACUGUGACACGUGUAUCCUGAGUACAACUCUUACUAUUAACCCUUUUGAGGCUGGCAGUGGUUUCAGUUUCUUCGUGCUCUUUCGCCUAGUACCCAGAAAAUCUGAAUUAAAUAAAGAAUUCACAUUUGGAUCUUAUUUUAAGUACUCCUCGAAGUUUCAAUUCCCGUUGGAGAUUUUUUAAAGCCUGGAGCAGUGGAGGAGCUAAAAAGAGAAGAGAGGUCAGUUCAAAUCAAUUCAAGAAAUAUUUAUUGAGCGUCUGAAUGUGCCAGAUACAAAAGAUGAAGAUCUUCUUUCAAGAAGCUCACAGUCUGAUGGGGAGAUGACAUGUGGGGGAAUUAGAACAAUAGUCCAGGACUGGAAGAUGAAGCCUGGGAGAGCGGCUGGUGGAGAGGCUUGGAAUGACUCCUGUCCAAACUCAGAGGUUGCUUCAGGAAGAAGAAAAACUUGAGGGAGGACGAUUACUGGACCCAUG
rnacentral:lncRNA from 1 species